UUCCUCCUGCAGUGUUCGAGGCGGGUCUAAGUCUUUCGACCCUAAAUCAUGACCUUGGGGUCGUCGUCUGUAGACAGUUUUGUGCAGAUCCGCCGCGAGCGGAAAGCCUGCGCUGUCACGGCUGACCCCACCUAUCGCUCUGGUUCGAGAGCGAUGAUUCGUCACGGCACAGGCGGGAGGAAC
rnacentral:other from 1 species